AUAUGAAUGUGUAUCAAAAUGACAGCAAUUCAUUGUAUUCUAAAAAAAAAAAGUAAAGAAAUCUGGGACUCUGAAAGAUUUCACAACUUUCUCCGCAUUCACCCAGAUAUACCAAGUGAUGACUCACAGUCAAAUCAGGCCCCUGUGUCUCCAAGGCCCAAGCUCCCUUUGUUACCCAUGAUGUAUUUCUAUCAUCCAAGACCCAGGCUUACACCAAUGUCAUUGGCAUAGCCUCAAGUCUUUGCUCUCCUUAAUGCACCAACUAGAAAGACAGCCAGCUAAGAGAACAAAGUAAAGUUCAAAAAAGAAAAAGAAAGAAAAGAAAAAAGAAAAGAAAAGAAAAGAAACCUAAAGGCCUCUUCCCUUCACAUAUCUACCAAAGCAAAGAAGGCUCACUUGCUCCCCUUCCAGAGUUUCUCAGCCUUCAACCUGCAAUGCUUUCUCUGCUGCAACUUAGCCCCUCCUCUGCCUAUCAACAAGAUGUUGAAGAGAAGUUAUAUUGUCCUGCUUGUAAUGACCAUGUAUGUUCUUGCAGAGGCUUCUUGGGUCACACCCAAAGUGAACAGAUUCAUUGCAUAUCAAAGUGGUAACAGCACACUCCCUCUUGCAGAAGCACGAGCCUCCUGCAACACAUUCAAACCCAAAUGAAGAACCCUGAGUGUACUAAGGAGUGCUUAGAUUUAAGUAAAUGUUAUUGAAGUAUCACCUACAUGCAGGAAACAGCAUAAGCCGA
rnacentral:lncRNA from 10 species